rnacentral:rRNA from 1 species
UCAGGACGAACGCUGGCGGCGUGCUUAACACAUGCAAGUCGAACGGAAAGGCCCUGCUUUGUGGGGUGCUCGAGUGGCGAACGGGUGAGUAACACGUGAGUAACCUGCCCUUGACUUUGGGAUAACUUCAGGAAACUGGGGCUAAUACCGGAUAGGAGCUCCUGCUGCAUGGUGGGGGUUGGAAAGUUUCGGCGGUUGGGGAUGGACUCGCGGCUUAUCAGCUUGUUGGUGGGGUAGUGGCUUACCAAGGCUUUGACGGGUAGCCGGCCUGAGAGGGUGACCGGCCACAUUGGGACUGAGAUACGGCCCAGACUCCUACGGGAGGCAGCAGUGGGGAAUAUUGCACAAUGGGCGGAAGCCUGAUGCAGCAACGCCGCGUGCGGGAUGACGGCCUUCGGGUUGUAAACCGCUUUCGCCUGUGACGAAGCGUGAGUGACGGUAAUGGGUAAAGAAGCACCGGCUAACUACGUGCCAGCCGCCGC